UCGACCUGAGAUCAGAUAAGACUACCCGCCGAAUUUAAGCAUAUUAAUAAGCGGAGGAAAAGAAAACAACUGUGAUUCCCUUAGUAAUGGCGAAUGAAACGGGAUCAGCCCAUCGCGUAACUGCAGGUCAUCUUGGCUUUGCGGGAUGUCGCGUUCGGGAUAGUCUCAUCUGGAGCCGGACUGCCAGUCAAAGUCCAACUUGACAGUGGUCACUGCCCAUAGAGGGUGAUAGGCCCGUAAGGCGGCCGUGCGCUCUGGCCGACUUUUCCCCAGAGUCGGGUUGCUUGGGAGUGCAGCCCAAAGUUCGAGGUAAACUCCUCGUAAGGCUAAAUACGACCCCUAGACCGAUAGCAAACAAGUACCGUGAGGGAAAAUUGAAAAGAACUUUGAAGAGAGAGUUCAAUAGUACGUGAAACUGUGUGGUGGUAAACGGAGGGGUUCUCGAAGUCUCCGUGGGGUACUCACCUUGGUGGUGGGUGGUCGGGCCGCGUGUGAUCAGCAAUGACGCCGUGGCUCGUCCGGCCCUCCUCCCGGGUGCAUUUCCCCCGCGGUUCACGGCAGGAACCAUUGGGACCGGACCGAAGGCCCCAGGUGAAGUUGUCGCUUAUGGUGGCAGCCCUUGGGUGCCCUGGCUCUGGGCCUGACGGGUACGUGAGAGGACUCGUAUAGCGAGCAACGCUCU
rnacentral:rRNA from 1 species